UACGUAGGGUGCAAGCGUUAAUCGGAAUUACUGGGCGUAAAGAGUGUGUAGGCUGUUCUCUAAGUUUGGUGUGAAAUCUCCCGGCUCAACUGGGAGGGUGCGCCGAAAACUGGAGGGCUCGAGUAUGGGAGAGGAAAGCGGAAUUCCUGGUGUAGCGGUGAAAUGCGUAGAUAUCAGGAGGAACACCUGCGGUGUAGACAGCUUUCUGGACCAUCACUGACGCUGAGACACGAAAGCGUGGGUAGCAAACAGG
rnacentral:rRNA from 1 species